GCGGAUGAGGGAGCUUGCUCCUGGAUUCAGCGGCGGACGGGUGAGUAAUGCCUAGGAAUCUGCCUGGUAGUGGGGGAUAACGUCCGGAAACGGGCGCUAAUACCGCAUACGUCCUGAGGGAGAAAGUGGGGGAUCUUCGGACCUCACGCUAUCAGAUGAGCCUAGGUCGGAUUAGCUAGUUGGUGGGGUAAAGGCCUACCAAGGCGACGAUCCGUAACUGGUCUGAGAGGAUGAUCAGUCACACUGGAACUGAGACACGGUCCAGACUCCUACGGGAGGCAGCAGUGGGGAAUAUUGGACAAUGGGCGAAAGCCUGAUCCAGCCAUGCCGCGUGUGUGAAGAAGGUCUUCGGAUUGUAAAGCACUUUAAGUUGGGAGGAAGGGCAGUAAGUUAAUACCUUGCUGUUUUGACGUUACCAACAGAAUAAGCACCGGCUAACUUCGUGCCAGCAGCCGCGGUAAUACGAAGGGUGCAAGCGUUAAUCGGAAUUACUGGGCGUAAAGCGCGCGUAGGUGGUUCAGCAAGUUGGAUGUGAAAUCCCCGGGCUCAACCUGGGAACUGCAUCCAAAACUACUGAGCUAGAGUACGGUAGAGGGUGGUGGAAUUUCCUGUGUAGCGGUGAAAUGCGUAUAUAUAGGAAGGAACACCAGUGGCGAAGGCGACCCCCUGGACUGAUACUGACACUGAGGUGCGAAAGCGUGGGGAGCAUACAGGAAUGGAUACCCUGUGAGUCCACGCCGUCCACGAUAUCUACUAGCCGUUGGGAUCCUUGA
rnacentral:rRNA from 1 species